UCUAGUAAUUGCUUGAGAAAUUUCCUUUGUUCCUACCCUUUCUUUUUUCUCCUUCCAAGUCAACGCACUUGCUUGCGUUGUAGUAUCUCUACACACGCUGCUCAAAAUUCAUAUAAAUACUCCCAAAGGCAUUGAGCUAGUAAUUCAAGUUCUAAAAUUAAAGCUCUCAAAAUUGUUAGUACUACCUAUUAAUUCUUAUAGAAAGUUUUGCAAUAUGGCAGCAGUGCUGUCCAACAUCUCCAUAAGGUCCAUAGUGAUUACACUUAUGAUCUAUGCUAUUUUCUUAUCUCCCUUCCUACUAUGGUCCUGCGAUGCAUCCCGAGAACUCAAAGCGAACAAGUUUCCCGUUGCAUGUCUUCAUUGUGUGGGGUGUUGUGAACCAACACCCCCGGGUACCUGUUGCACCCGCUGUGGUUGUUGAAGUUUGAUCUUCUUUACAUGUCAGAACUAUAGAACAAGUUUAAUUUGAUCAACAAUUGGUGUAUCUUUGAGUCAUAUAUAUAUAUACAUACAUGUUAUACAAUAAAGAAGGAACUUAUUGGUUUGUUUAGAUUAAGACAUUAAGUAUAGGAUUGCUCUGCGUAACCUGUGGGAAACAUGACUGCGUUUGUAAUGUUUUGAAUUUUAAGUGAUCAAUAAAAUUUUGAGAAGAAAAA